CCUGCCAUUUCAAGAACAUAAAGUGAUGUCUUCUAAAUAUUCGUUUUGCCGGUCAAGAAAAUAAGAUUAUGUCUUCUAACUAUUUGUUUCUUCAUUUUUUUUGAGUGAGUAGGAGGUUCUGAGUUCGAAAGUCCGUACAUCUUUUAUGACAAGGCCAGACCAUGUUAAAUUAACUCUUCUUAUAAGAGAAGACUCCUCCGAAGGGGAAUCAAACACAUGACCUCUUAAGACCCUACUAGCCGUGUCAUUCAAGAGAAAAAUACUGUAAGGUACAGAUUCAAGGAUGAGAUUACUUACUCGGGAUCGAGGUAACCGAUUGUGCCAGCCACAACGGUUGAAAUCUGAUCGCUUCCUUCAACAGAGAAGCUUCUGGAUAAACCGAAGUCCGCAAUCUUGGCUUGGAUCUUCUCAUUUAGUAAGAUGUUCGUUGGCUUCACAUCUCUGUGAACUAUAGGAGGCUUACAACCAUAGUGAAGAUACUCUAGCCCUGAAUAUUUUACAAUGAGAAAAGGACCCUUCAUUGAUCAAUUUUCACAUAUUGGUUUAGUUUCAUUUCAAAAUGUUUGCCAAACAAACCUUGCGCUGCAUCUAGUGAAAUCUUUAACCUCUC